AGCGAACGCUGGCGGCAGGCCUAACACGUGCAAGUCGAACGAACUCUUCGGAGUUAGUGGCGGACGGGUGAGUAACACGUGGGAACGUGCCUUUUGGUUCGGAAUAACUCAGGGAAACUUGUGCUAAUACCGAAUGUGCUCUUCGGGGGAAAGAUUUAUCGCCAUUAGAGCGGCCCGCGUCUGAUUAGCUAGUUGGUGAGGUAACGGCUCACCAAGGCGACGAUCAGUAGCUGGUCUGAGAGGAUGACCAGCCACACUGGGACUGAGACACGGCCCAGACUCCUACGGGAGGCAGCAGUGGGGAAUCUUGCGCAAUAGGCGAAAGCCUGACGCAGCCAUGCCGCGUGAAUGAUGAAGGUCUUAGGAUUGUAAAAUUCUUUCACCGGGGACGAUAAUGACGGUACCCGGAGAAGAAGCCCCGGCUAACUUCGUG
rnacentral:rRNA from 1 species